GGCCCAGACUCCUACGGGAGGCAGCAGUGGGGAAUAUUGCACAAUGGGGGGAACCCUGAUGCAGCGACGCCGCGUGGGUGAAGGAGUAUUUCGGUCUGUAAAGCCCUAUCAGCAGGGAAGAACGAUGACGGUACCUGACUAAGAAGCACCGGCUAAAUACGUGCCAGCAGCCGCGGUAAUACGUAGGGGGCAAGCGUUAUCCGGAUUUACUGGGUGUAAAGGGAGCGUAGGCGGUUUAGCAAGUCAGAAGUGAAAGCCCGGGGCUCAACUCCGGGACUGCUUUUGAAACUGUUGAACUAGAUUGCAGGAGAGGUAAGUGGAAUUCCUAGUGUAGCGGUGAAAUGCGUAGAUAUUAGGAGGAACACCAGUGGCGAAGGCGGCUUACUGGACUGUAACUGACGUUGAGGCUCGAAAGCGUGGGGAGCAAACAGGAUUAGAUACCCUAGUAA
rnacentral:rRNA from 1 species